GCAACUCUAACUCAGUUGGUAGAGCACGAGACUCUUAAUCUCAGGGUUGUGAGUUUGAGCCCCACGUUCGGCA